CAGAGGGUGCGAGCGUUGUCCGGAAUCACUGGGCGUAAAGGGCGCGUAGGUGGCGUCGCAAGUCCAUGGUGAAAGCUCGAUGCUCAACAUCGAGUCGGCCACGGAGACUGCGAGGCUGGAGCACUGUAGAGGCAGAUGGAAUUCCGGGUAUAGCGGUGGAAUGCGUAGAGAUCCGGAAGAACACCGGUGGCGAAGGCGGUCUGCUGGGCAGUUGCUGACACUGAGGCGCGACAGCGUGGGGAGCAAACAGGACUAGAUACCCUGGUAGUCCACGCCGUAAACGAUGGGCACUAGAUGCUUGGGGGAGCGACCCCCUGAGUGUCGUCGCUAACGCAGUAAGUGCCCCGCCUGGGGAGUACGGCCGCAAGGCUG
rnacentral:rRNA from 1 species